GCUCAUUGAACAGUAAUGCUGUCAGUUUUGAUCAGAGAACUUCUUUUUGCAGUGGUCAGCAGUGACUGCAGAGAUUAGUCCAAGUACUGAGAGGAAGUGACUGCGGAGUGAUUGGUCAUCAAUGCUACAUCUUGUAUCAGGGAGGACAGGAGCAGACAGUGGGAAGAAUGGGGAGACGGAGGGAAGAUGAAGGAAUGCUCACUGGUGCCCAGACACGUCAUGGCUGUUACACUCUGAGAUGACCUCCACAAGGCACACACUGAAAUCUUUAAAUUUGGAAUGGUAUACUGUCUGGAAUUCUCU
rnacentral:lncRNA from 1 species